AAUGAACGUUGGCGGCGUGGAUUAGGCAUGCAAGUCGAACGUGAUCUGUAGCAAUACAGUGAAAGUGGCGAAAGGGAGAGUAAUACGUAGGUACCUACCCUCGGGUCUGGGAUAGCUGCGGGAAACUGCAAUUAAUACCGGAUGACGUCUCUGGACCAAAGGUGUGAUUCCGCCAGGGGAUGGGCCUGCGUCCUAUCAGCUAGUUGGUGUGGUAACGGCGCACCAAGGCUAAGACGGGUACGGGGUGUGAGAGCAUGCCCCCGCUCACUGGGACUGAGAUACUGCCCAGACACCUACGGGUGGCUGCAGUCGAGAAUCUUCCGCAAUGGGCGCAAGCCUGACGGAGCGACGCCGCGUGUGGGAUGAAGGCCUUCGGGUUGUAAACCACUGUCAGUGGGGAGCAAAUGCAUCAGGGUUCUCCCUGGUGUUUGAGCGAUCCGCAGAGGAAGCACAGGCUAAUUCCGUGCCAGCCGCCGCCGUAA
rnacentral:rRNA from 1 species